rnacentral:rRNA from 1 species
UACGGGAGGCAGCAGUGGGGAAUAUUGCACAAUGGGCGAAAGCCUGAUGCAGCUAUGCCGCGUGUAUGAAGAAGGCCUUAGGGUUGUAAAGUACUUUCAUCGGGGAGGAAAAAAACAAAACUAAUAAUUUUAUUUCUUGACGUUACCCGAAAAAGAAGCACCGGCUAACUCCGUGCCAGCAGCCGCGGUAAUACGGAGGGUGCUAGCGUUAAUCGGAAUUACUGGGCGUAAAGGGCACGCAGGCGGUUAAUUAAGUUGGAUGUGAAAUCCCCGGGCUUAACCUGGGAAUGGCAUUCAAGACUGGUUAGCUAGAGUCUUGUAGAGGGGGGUUAGAAUUCCAUGUGUAGCGGUGAAAUGCGUAGAGAUGUGGAGGAAUACCGGUGGCGAAGGCGGCCCCUGGACAAAGACUGACGCUCAUGUGCGAAAGCGUGGGGAGCAAACAGGGAUUAGAUACC